GACAAAAUGGCCGAUAGCCAUCCGUAUUUUUCAGCGUUGUUUCGUUUUCAUUGUUAAUUUUAUACUAUUUUUAUCAUUUCUGGUUAACAUUGUAAUGGAAUUAAAUGAAAAAUAUUUCGUUUGAUUGCUGAUCCGUGGACUGCGAUGCUACUGGCAUGUGAUCAACGGCGUUGAUGGACAAUAUGGAAUUAAACGAGCUAUUCAAUGAAACGCAGAGGUGUCAUUUCAUGGAUACGUCUGUUAACAUCUUAUUAGCUCCGUUAUGUGUAUGCGCGUUGGUAGGUAUUGUAACAUUUCUGGCUUACCAGUUUUUCAAAAAACGUUUGACCAUACAAAAUGUAGUAAGAGUUAACACUACAACUGUAAUUAAGACACAUACAUCAUUUCUGAGUAGAGAAAAGGAAUCAUGUGAAACCAAGCUUGCUGCGCUCAUUGAGAAAUCUGAAAUAGAUACCGGUCUUAAGUUGGAAGACGCAGUCAUGGAUAUAAAAACAAAUCAGCAAGAUUGUGCUAAUGAGAUUUUGGCACAAAGCGCAUCUCUGAAUCGAAUAAUUGGUCAUCUUAUUGCCGAGAAAACGGCGCCGGGACAAGAGGAGUACGUUACAAAACGCCAGGAACUGAUCGAACGUACAAAGAAGCUUUACAGGGACACAUUAAAUCAGCUUACCAUAUCGCCAUUGAAUGACUACAAACAUGAACAAUUAACAGAUGUCUAUAUGCCGCUUAGAAUUGUUCGAAUGGUCGAGGACAAAGGUGUGUAUAAGAAAACAGACACACAGGUUACACAGUACAAGGAUAUGUUUUUAACAGAUAACACAGUUAACCCAAGAAUAUUUCUUCAAGGUGAGGCAGGGUCUGGAAAAACAACAUUCUUAUCAAAGUUGGCACUAGACUGGUGUGGAGAAGUGCAUGUUUCUAGUUCAUUUGAUGACAGUUCACCUUUAUUUAGUGAUGUCGACGUUAUUCAAGGAUUUGUGUUCGUUUUCCAUAUUAAAUUGAGGAAUUCGGUAAAACAAUUCGACGUAUAUACUAUGAUAACAGAACAAAUAAUGGACUCGAUCUACUCCCAUGAAGACCGUGAGAAGGCGUACAGACUUUUGAAUGAGAUAAUGAAAUGUGAACAAUGCUUGGUUCUACUUGAUGGUCUAGAUGAGUGGGCCGGACCUGGAGAUCAUCACAACCUACCGACAUUGGUAGUAGAUCACGGCAAAUGUGUGAUGUUAUUUUCAACACGACCUUGGAAAUUGGCUGUAGUUAAAAUUACGCAUUCGGACAGAUACACAUCCUUGCAACUGGAAGGAAUAGACGAGCCGUUAGAGCUUAGCAGAAUAAUCCUGAGCCGCUUGAUGAAUAAGGAAUAUUGUGAAUUAGAUUUCUCAGCAUUUGAGCAUUACAUAGCGAAACAAGAGCUGGAACAUUUACUGUCAUCUCCAAUUAUGCUCUCUGUAAUUGUUUGUUCAUAUGCAGAGGGAACAGAACUCAAAGGUUCUAAGUGUAUAAUAAACACCCUCUUACUGGAAAGUCUUUUUAAAAAAGCGAACAGUGAAAUGUGUACAUUUGAACAGCCCGCCUUUCUGUGCUUCACAGGGACUCAAUACAUAAAGCCCAAUAUGGAACCCCUAAAUCGCCUUGCCGAAUUAGCGUUUCACUUGUUGUUUGUAAAUGUAAAGGAAAACUCACUAGUGUUUAGUGAUACGGAAUUAAGGAAAUUUAAGUUAGAUGAAAGAAAGCAAAAGGAAUUUGCAUUAAAAUCCGGAAUUUUGUCAUCAGUACGAAACGCUUCAACACUGCGAUCGGCAUCUUCAUUUUCGUUUAUCCACUUGAGCAUGCAGGAAUUCCUCGCUGCUUAUCAUAUUGCCCGCAAUACUCAUCUUAUUGAUGACGUUAUUUCUGUGUAUCUUGACCAUCAUAAGGAUGCAUAUCGCGACAUAUCACAGGUGUUUAUAUUCCUGUGUGGACUGGAUAAAUCGAGUGCGGAAACGCUAUCAAGCAUGAUGGAUCAAUACCAUGCUAUGAUAAAUAGCAGAUUCGACGACUGGUUGCAAACAACCAAUUUGGCAGGACACAGAGAAGCUGUUGCAAACGGACAAAACGAAAUUUGCCUUAGACUAAGUCACUUCGACUUCGAUAAGCACAACAUCAUAGACCUACAUAGGAUUUGGACAAAUAACGCAGCAAAUGCCCUUUCCUUGAUAGUUUCCAUCGGCAAGGUACCCUUUGAAAACAGACAAAUGCCAACUGAACUGGACCUGUCAUUGUGUCGCAAGCUGAAAAAGUUAGAACUACUUGGAGACGGCAUAUUGUUAGAAGGUUUCGAUAAAGGAAUGGAAGAAUAGAAGUGGAAGUGCAUAUCAUUUCAACGCUUAUGUUAUAAACAUCGGAUCAAAGUUGUCAACUUACCGGCAAUUGUUAAAAACAUUGGAUUAACGAUGUCAUUAAGGUAAGCGUGUCGGAAUCCUGUGUUUCCCCGGUUCAAAUGUUUACACGGUAAUUUACAUAAACUGUAUACAUACGCGUCUUAAAUAAACUAUGGCGUACCGUUUAAGUCAUUGUUUUGUCAGUUUUUUUAAAGCAAAAAUACAAUUGUUAACUGUUUUCGUUAGUUGUGUAUAUAAUAAAAGUGGCUCGUGUUAUUUCGCAUCACAUUCGAGGCUCCACCUCUCGUGUGAUACGUCAUCACACAAGCCACUCGACUGAAUACAAACUCUUGGAACAAUUGACUAGCGUUAUAUUCCGUAUAUAUUACACAUGUGUAAUACAUAGAGGAUAUUUGUUGGAUUCGGUGGAUUAUCGAUUUUAAUUCACGAGUGAUAAUAGAAAAUAAUAUUUUCACGAGUGGCGCAGCCACGAGUGAAAAUAUACAUUUUAUAUGCUCACGAGUGAAUUAAAAUCGAUAAUCCACCGAACCCAACAAAUUUUCUUUUUAUUUUAUGCUUUAUUUCACAGUUUAUAUACAUUGUUAAAGAGUUUAACUAAAGAAUUACGUUGGGAAAAUGACGUCAUUUCGUCCAAAAAAUGACGUCAUUUAACAUAAACAGUGAAAAUUAUCGAUAAUUUUCACUGAUAAUUUUCAUUGUUUGAAACAGUGAAAUUAUCAGUUUUAAUUCACUGAUAUUUCUCUAUAAACCACCGGAAAGUAUAAAAUAAAACAUUUUUAAACGUUUUUAUUGGCUUAAUUUUCGUUUAUUGACCAAUCGCAGUGUUUAAUUUUGCUGAAAUGACGUUGCAACGUCAAAUGACGUCACGAAUUGUAAACAACAUUCGGGAUUUAUCAUUAUGUUUGCGCGAAUAUUUAUUAAAUUUGCUCAUUUAAAAGCAUGUGAUAAAAAAGAUCUGACACUCGUUGUCAUAUCAUACCAUAUUUUAUUAAACUCGUCCAGGAAAUUCGUUAGUAAGCUCGCCAAAGACUCGCUCGUUUAAUAAAAUAUGGUAUGAUAUGAAAACUCGUACCAGAUCCUAUAUUUAUCAAACGAGGUCAUAAAAAUCAUUAGUCAGAGUCUUUGUCUAUUGAACAAUUACCUUAUGGUAACGUAAUGAUAUCAGAGAAUGCCCUAUAUGUCAUUAGUCAGAUUUUAUGAACUGUUACGUGAAGAUAAAUGUUAUAAUAAAGUGAUGAUAUCAAAUGAGGCCAUUGAAGUCUAUAGUCAGGAUCUUAGUUUACUGAACCUUUUUUCAUCACAAUAUGAAGUGUGUCAGUUCCAAAUGAUCGCUGAACCUGAACAUUUUAUUACAAGAGGCGGGUGAAAGAAUACGUAAAUGGUGUUUUACAUUUAAGCACAAGCCAUUAAUAACAUCCACAUUUACUUUUUGGACGAUUGUAAGACGCAAAAGUUUUAUGUGUUUUCGAGCUCACUGUACCCAAUUGAGUAGGAUCCGGUACUUUCCUCUGAAACAAUAGACCCCAUUUCUAUGUUAUUUUAUGUUAAUUAUCGGGCCUCAUUUGUAUAGACCUUUACAUUUGUCAAGUUAUGUAAGUUUUCAGAUUUUUCAGUUUGAUGGUUAUAAUAGGGGUUUUAAGCAAGUUUUUGUUAACCACAUUAUUCAGUGUGGUAGAAGAUACAUUUUAAGUCAAAACACGUUUAAAUACGUUAAGUUUUAAGAAACUUCGAUCUUUCGAUUUUUGUAAAUUGUUAUGUUUUUCUGCAAAGUUUGACUAACGGGCCUCAGUAAAUUACGCUUUUAGUCGUACGAUAUCGGGUGAUGUGUACAUGAUCGAUUUAUGUCUAAUUUUAAUGGUCAGUUGAAGAAAAGUUGUUCAGUUUGAGUUCAUGGAGAGCAUGUUCCUCGAUUUUUCGGUAAACGAUGCUGGGCGGUAACACGUAUAAAUCGACAGACUUUUUGACAUACACGGACAGUUACAGCUUUGAGACUAGAGCACUAGCUGGGACGUAAGUGUCCAUAACAUACGGCAUUUUGGCCGUUUCAAUGUAGGUAGUCGUUUGGCAUGGUAGACGAUAGGUCGUCAACGCACCGUUAGCGUCACGCCAGUGCUACAUGAGCAUCCACAAGUCUACAGGCCGUCAUACUCGUUGACAUUACCUACGACACCUCGUUAUAAGACGGAAAUACAGGGAACCGUUCGCACCGGUAUACGACCGGUCACGUAAACGUCAUCAGUACGUUCUACUUCCGGGCAAAGUCUUCUCAGCGUUUGACAACGUUCUACUUCCGGGCUCGAAACAGCUCUGGUAUCUACAGUCUACACCCGGGCUUGAUACAGCUCGGAUAUCUACAGUCUACUUCUGGGCUUAUAUAGCUCAGGUUAUCUGCACUCUACUUUCAGGCUUGGUACAGCUCGAAGUUUGCUACUUCGCAGAACACUACAACCGGUAUUCAGUUCCGGAUCUGGUCAUUGACGGCUGUCCAUAGGUUCAGGUCGUGACAAUCGAUAUCACUCCACCAUUACAUCUACCGUCUACAGUUUGACUACGUUAACUGGCCAUUAAGGUUCAUGUAGAGGCUUCAAUUUGAAAAAUGUGGGACCCCUAGCAUUGAACUCAAAUUUGACUAAAGGAAGAGUGCCACAUUGAAAAUGUAUACAUAUAUGCUUUAAAGGAUGUUUUUCCUUCGAACUGCUACCAAUUUUGUACAUCAACGUAUCAUAACAUCCACAAAAUCAAUCAAAAUACAAAGCGAUUUUAACAAUAAAAUAUACAUUAUUGUCAAAAAUCUGAAUCAUGUUUAUUCCACGUAUUUCGGCGGAAAAUUAUAUAACUAGUGAUUAAUAUCGACAUUGACGAGGGCAAGUUACGCUUAAAUAGUAAAAUAAGUUAACAUAUCUAGAAAUAUCAAAACUCGAACACAUGUCAUUUCAUCACCAUGGGGGCAGCCAUUUUUAAAUUAAUAAAAUAGAAAGAAACAUGCUAAAAACUCACUCAUCGCCUAAAUGACAUUCCAAACGGUUGACGAUGACAUAUGCAUUGGAUUGUACUCUUUCCGUUGAUGUUUGCAAACUGCACGAUCAGACCUCAUAAACACUCAAAAGAAUAACUAUGUAAGAAGCAUUUCACCAAUGUUUACAAUCGUUGUCGAAUCACAUUAAUUAUAUUAUUGCGCAUAAAAUAGCACGCUUACAGACUGGCAGAAAGAUCGAUUCGUAACUCCGUUCAAUUCAUCACGGUAUACUAUUAUAAUGAUAAUAUAUAAUAAUACAUCUCUUUAACAAUCUAAAAGUAGAAAUAAUUCUUUUAAACGGAGUUUUUAAUAACGAAAGUGAAAACAACGGAAGUUGGAUGGAUAUUCUGUGAGAUGCACUUCGGCUCCAGAAAAACAAUACAAAUAAACUAAAAAAGACAAGUGGGGGACAAUUUUCAGCUGGAAAAUAUUUGAAAUAGGGUAAGUAAUGAUAUCUCUACGUGGUCAUUUCUGUUAUUUAGUGCGAUCUCUUGCUGAUUAAUGUUAAUAGUUGUUUUACUAGUUGCCACCCAACUGUCAAAAUAAGAAAUGUGUUUUCUCAGGUAUGUGUAUACACAUACCCGGUUUUCUCACCACUGCACGUGGUUUCGACCGAUUUGUUUUGCACGUUUUUCUACGGAGCACAGCGAUGGCCACGCUCUCAAAAUGGGUAGAAGGAAUCGAAAUAUAAAAUCAAUCGGUUUGCCAAUUUCUUUAUAUUCCUUUACAAUUUUAUAUGUCGUCUGCAAUCUAUUUCAAUUUGAGAUGGUUUAAAAUUUGCAAUUUGGUUGAGAGGUAAAUAACAAAAUUGUUAAGCCUUUGAAAUAGAAUUGUGACUCUUAUUGUCCACCAUACCUGGAUUUUUAAAAAGUAGUUACGUUUUAGUUAUUUUUAGAACUUUGUUUAGGAAAUUUAUCCAAAAAAGGCAGUUGAAUAAAAACUCAUUUGUUGUUUUAUGACAAUAAUUUUCUGUGAAAUGUUGCUAACUUGACCUUGUAUAUGUAUAUAGCUUUGUAUUUAUUCAACUUAAGGUAGUGCAUAUCCUUCCUAACUUUAGAUUGAGAUUUUGUAAAUUAGUGUAAAAAUGUAUUGGUUUUAAACCAAAAUAUGAAUAAAGGACACAUUUAUUGAAUGUCAAAAAUGUGUUAAUGUUAUUCUAUCCGUCUUAAGCUUUAAAAUGAUAUAUAGUUUGACCAUAUUGUACCACAUUGAAUGAAGAAAAACCAAAGCGAAGUUUUAAUGAAUUUUAUCCCCCCCCCCCCCCCCCCAUGAACCUUAACUUUGAUAGUUUUUUGUAUUUCUUUUGAUAUUUAUAUCAUAUUGUAAAAAGUUUAUUUUAAUAUUGUAAAUAAAUUGAUUUAUUGUU